GUGGAAAUGAGAAUAUAAAUGUAAAUCCAUUUAAAAAUUUCUUUGAUGAGUACAAAAGGAUAUUAUUAUGUUAAACGCAUGGUGAUGUUGAAGAUAACCAACCAAAUGCGUCUACUACAAAUUUAACAGAGAAGCAAUCUAUAAUCGAUAUUCAUGUACCUGAACGUCUUCUGCGGCAAUUUGUAGUUAACUACUGGAAUUCAAUAACAUACACUCAAAAAAAACCUUUCGUUAAAUUAGCUUCAGAAAAACGAAAAUGGUUAGAAAUGAUCAAUGAACGUAAAAUUUUAUUUGCUGAAUAAAUUCAUUGGCUUAAUACACCAAAUUUGCAGCUAAUUACAAGUUUACAUCCAAGUGCAGAUUUCCAGCACUGUGGAAAUAGUCAUGAUGAGUCGAAGGAUAAGCUAAUAGGUCAUUGCUCGCAGUGUGUGAAAGGACUUAAUGAACGGCCAUACGAGAACGAAACGAAACUAUGUAGUUCAUCCGAAAAGGACACGCAGCAGUGUAUAGAGACGCGUAACGAAUCAGAAAAAGAGGAGUUUGACAAAUGUCCGAAUAAACUAUUGUCCCUUUCAAUGGUUAUGACUUCAGAAGAUAUACAAAGCAAACAAUCCAAUAUGGCUGUUGAGUAUGGUAUAGUGACCGCAGAUGUGAACAAGUCAAAGAAUAGAAAUGAAACGAUGUCACCUAAAUUAUAUGAUUUAAAAAUGUAGCAAUUUAUUUCAGUGAUUGAUUUUUUUAGAGGUUAGGAUUAUAAAUAAAUGUUUUAACAAAUAAAUUA